UAACUAUGGGCUUGGGCAGUUGGGCUUCUAUCUCCAUCAGGCAUCAGUAUCACAAACCCAAACUUAAUUCCCCACUCCACUUUUUUUUUUUUCUCUCUCUCUCUGACUCUCUCUCUUCACUUUUAUCUCUCGAUCUCAACUCUUUCCUUCGUUUCACAUGAAAUUCUUUUGAUUUCUCCAUCAGUUUUUUCACUACUUUAUCAAAUAUCAAGGAUUCUAGUUUUUUUUUUUCUUUUUUUUUCUCUCUCUCUUUCUCUUUCUCUGUUCUUCGAGUGCGUUCUGCAAAUCAUUAGAUCUACUCACAAUGCUGUUGAUUCACCACUACGUCUGAUCUCUUCUCUUUAACACACAAAGGUUUAAGGUUCGUUCUCUUUCUAUUUCGAUUCAUUCUUUCAUUUUACUUGUUCUCAACCUUCAUUAACUUUGAAUUGUUUGCAUUUCAGCUCAAUUUCAUUAAGAUAUUCAUUAUUUGUUCAAUUUCAAUACAUUUUAAUUAAAAAGUGAGAAAACAGAUAUACAGUAGUUUGAAUUGAAUGAGUAGAAGAAAUUAGAAAUGUUUUGAUUUCUUUUCAUUAUUUAUUAUUGUUCUAGGGUUUUUUUUCUCCCUCAAAUCAACCGUAUUUCCCGAUUAAAAAAAACUCAUCUUGUGGAAUUUUGGUUGAGUUUAUAAAGUUAGUUAAUGUUGAAGAAUGAAGGCUUUGAAGAGUAGUUUUUAGUUAUGUAAGAUAUUAAAAAUAUCAGGUCAUAUUUGCAGAUAACGAUUUAGUUUAUGGCGAGAUCAAGACAACAAUUUACGUCUGAGGAUGUAUUGAUUUUUGUUUAAUUAAUUAACAGGUCAUAUCAUUUUCACUCUAAACCGUUGACACAGUUUGUUUAGAUUGUUGGAAAAUUACUUAAGCUUUACAUGCCUUUUCCUUUAAUAUACUUCCUUUGUCUGCUGUUGUAAUCAUCUUUGAAUUUUUUUAUAAUAAACCUGUAGAGGUGGCUGGAUAUUGUUGAUAACUCAAUAACCAACUCAAAGCCAACACUGACUGAAGAGUUUGAUAUAUUGAGAUUUUGCUGAAUGUGACGCGAGCAACUGUUGGAUGACAAAAACAAUUUGCUUAUAAUGCAAUGGUUUUAAACAUAACCCAUAUACGGAUUUGUGUGGCAUAGCUAGCAUAACUAAAGGGAUUGUGAUACGACUAUUCUAUGUUACAUGUCACCAGCCUAUAGAUAUGAUCCCAUGAUUGAGUAGCGAAUGUUGGCAGCAAUGGUACUAUUAGAUUUGUAAUAAGAAGCUUAUGAGUUGAACUUAGUGAGAAGAUAGAGCUUGCAUUCAGCAAGCUUAUUGUAGCAGGAGACCAAUAAAAUUGGGCCUCACAUUUUACUCAUUCAAUGUCCGACAUCGAUGAGAGAUAGUAAGAGUUUGCAACCUGUAUAAUACAUUGUACAGGUGCUUUCUCGAUACCAAUAUAGGACAUUUUAAUCUUACUAAACUUACUUGGUUAACUAGUAGGGGGCUGCAAGUUCGAUAAUUUAGGCUGAAUUACAAUAUGUACUAUGUACAACUUGGUUUCUGGUUGAUAAUCUGACAAACCCAUACUUACAGAAGAAUAAACUGCGCCUAUCUUCCAACAUUUCAUCCACAUGUGAGUCUCUCUCAUGUAAACGUUUCGAGAAUUCCAUAGCUGUAAGCCUGUAAACUUUGCCACUCAUUACAGAGUGAAUAUAGAUGUGUACGUAAUCACUUCAUACAGUGCCACCACAUUUUUGUGUACUGUAGACGUUGAGAACUGAUCAAUGGAAAUGAAAACACAUAUAUCAUUCCGCAUAUGAAAGGAGACUGUCAGGGUGGAUUUAUGACUUCUAGUCCCACCUUGCUAGUGAAGGAUUUCUGUCAACAAACAGUUUCUAUAAAAUGUUUUUUGAUACUCACGCAGCUGCGCGGUGAACACAAAGCGGACUAUUCUUUCGCCUUUUACUAAAUGUUAAUUUGCGACAUUAGAGUGUAUUUUUACAGUGAAAUAUUGUUGUUUACGAUAUAUUAUUGCAUAUUGUGUGUUUGAUCAAAAAUUAUUGUGUGUUUGAUCAAAUCAGUGAAUUAGUAUUAUAACGAGCCGAAACGAGCCAGCGAGCCGAAACGAGCCGAGCUCGAGUUUUACUAUUGGCUCGUGAGCCGAGCUCGAGCUCAUAGUUCAGCUCGAUCUUAAUUUUAAGCUCAGCUCGAGCUCGGCUCGGUUAGUAACGAGCCGAGUUCGAGCAUACCUUAGCUCGGCUCGAGCGGCUCGAAUAGCACCCCUAGUAGAUAUGAUGUUUUUUAGGUAAAUACUAUGAUAAUAUACUUCCAAAUUUGAUUUUAUAUAUAUUUUGUAUAACAAAUUGAUAUAUUAGUCGAUACAUUCGAUGUAAAAUAUCCACCGAUAGAUUCCAAUAUAUUCCGAUAUAUCUAUUUUUUUGAGAUCGAUACAUUAGUCGAUACCGAUAUUUUGUACUAUGAUUCUGUCUAGAAAUAAGAACAAAUUUGUUUAAGAAAGUAACAAAAUCAAACAACCAUUUAAUGCAAAAACCUAGAAUCAUAAUUCAACAAUUAAAGAUCCAGAAAAUAACUAUCAUCUUGCCAUGAUUAUAAGAUAUUAAAACCAAAACUUUAAGGAAAUUAGAGUAGUAAAAAGUUUAAACCCUAACAAAAAAAAAUACCAAACCAGCAAAAUUAAAACUCAUUUCUUCUACUUGUUUGUUUGUUCUUUUUUUAUAAUUCACAAUGGUAGUGAUCCUCAUGACUUUUAAUCAUUCAGGAAAACAAAUCUCUAUAAAACCGUUAAUUCUUCGAUUUUCACUAUAAAAAAUCCACUAUUUUGAAUAAAAAGAGGAUAUAUCAUUGCAAUUGCUGCAAGAACCCAACAAAAACCAUAUCGUGAUUUCUUUCCUUUAAAAAGUCCUACCGACUAGCUAAACCCUUUGGCCUUGCUCAACUCCUUCUCCUACUAAACUCUUUCUCCACCACCACCAUUCAAAUCCUCCUAAACUCUUCCUCCACCACCAAAACAGCAAUAGAAGCCUUUGAGGUAAAAAACAAGAGUGGACUAGUGAUGACUGUGAUAAACAAUAAAUUAAGAAACUUUUGAAAGAAAAGAAACAUAAAAGAAGAUGAAUAUGUGAUAAGACCUCAAAAGUGUAUAUUUAUCCCCCGAAGAGCACAUUGUUUGUAUAUCACUUAGCUUAUAUUAUUGUGUAAUAUCUAUUGAUUAGUGAUUUCUUGUCAUUUAUGUAGGUUUUGUGAGCCAAAAGUCGAAUAUUGUGCUAAAGCCCACCAAAAUCCAAGAAAAGCCUUUAAAAAGUGUUAUUUGCACAAAAGAGAGAAAUUACUAUUUGUACCCGUACAUUGCUUGGACCGGCCUGUGGACUUGACUCUAUGUCGAAGAUGGGUUGUCCAAAUCCCAGCUCAAUCAAGUUGUAUUGAAGCCCAUAGGUCAAAAAAUCCAUUGAAGUUUGUUACUUGAAGCCCAAUCUAAAAAGUCUGUAUAUGAUGAUCUAAAACUCUGAUUUGGGCCCGUAAGCUGUUUAUCUGAAGGUAUUGAUCCAAACUACAACAAAGACCUAAGAAAAUUAAGGUUCCACAUGAUUCUGCUGCUUCUAGAAGCCCUACAGCAGCCACCACGAAUUUUGACGUAAUUUGAAGAUCUUGGAGAGCAAGGAUACUUAGUCAGAUCAGGGCAUUCCCACAUUCUCAGUAAGUCCAUGAUAUUCCCGUAAGCAGUCAAAGACUCGAAGGACAUUUAGCAGACCUCAAAACCAUCCCCAACCUCAGCUGCAAAAGUGCAGUCCACAAAUAAAUGAUGACAAUUUUGUAUGCAGAGUAGUUCAUGACACAUCUAUUGACCAUGCAUUGCCUUUCUUUCUAAGGAUAUCCAUGGUGAAAACUCUGACCCAUAGAAGGGUACAAAAACACAAUUAAAUUUAGCUGGAGUCUUUGGUUGUCAAACCUUCUCGACAGGAAAAGAGAAGUCACCAAUUAGCUUUUCAGUAAUUUUAUUUGCUUCCAUUGCAUGAUACAUUGCCUUACUGAGAGGGGUGGAUUACCAACUUAUUUCCUCACACCUCAAUGACGAAAACAUGUAUCUAGACAUGAAAUAACGAAAUCCCACAACAUAACACAUAAGAACUUUCUAAUUGGUUGAACAUAUUGCAACUAACUUUCUUCAUAAUGAUCAAGAGAUGUGUUUCAUAUCCUACUCGUUUGACAAUUCAAGACAGGCUGCAAAAACCUUAAAAGGAACCUUGUGGCAAUACAAACUAGAAUAUAAACUAGCUUUCUGAGUGAUUCAGGAUCAGACAAAUAAAA
rnacentral:lncRNA from 1 species